rnacentral:lncRNA from 1 species
AUGAAUGCAUCCUUUUUAUCCGCUCAGAGGAUGGCCAGGCUGGGGCAGGCGCAGACCGGGAGGAGGACUGGGAUUGGGGGCUGCCCUCGGCCCCUUCCUAGGUCUCCUAAAGGGUCAGCUCUCCCGGACGUGGCGAGUUCGCCUCUGCCCGAAACUCAGUCCGCGUCACCUAACUCCCACGGCCCGCUCGCCCACCCCUUACCACCCUGGACACCCCAGACGGACACUCCGCCGGCAGCACGUGGUCCAGGGACCCCAGCUCCCCAUUGGUUGCUCGCCUCCUUCCUUCCCCGCGAUUGGCAGGGGCCCAGCCUCGGGUCCCCCCUCCGCGCCCUGCGGUGGUACAGCCUGCCGCGGCUUUCGGCAGGGUGGGCAGGUCCACUGCGCCGCGGCGCGGGGGGGCCGGGAGGAGCCGGGCGAGGCGGAGGGAUCCCUCUGGAAUGCUUCCGUCGGACCCACCCGGCGCUGGGCGGCGCGGCGCGGAUUGGCCACGGGCGUCGGGCGGCCGCUCCUGAUUGGCGCGCUGCGGGCGCUGGCCCCGCCCCCUGCCGCGGCUGCGGGAGAGGCCCGGGCCGGAGUUUGCGGAGGGNNNNNNNNNNNNNNNNNNNNNNNNNNNNNNGUGGCGGCGGCGGCGCAGGUGAGUGUCCCUGCGGGCGGGGAGGGGCACGGCCGCUCCGGGGGGCCCCAGCGCGGGCCCGCGGGGUCGCGGACCCAUGGGGAUCCGGCGGAUCGAGCGAGGAGCGGGGGGACGGCCCCGGGGACGCUGCUGGAGGUCUAGGUUGGGCUCCAGGAUGCCUGAGGCCCCUUCCCCCAGAGGCGCCCAUCUUCCCGCCGGGGGCCGGGGUCAAACACCUCCCGCCUCUGAGAUGGUGUCGACAGCCCACCCUGCCCCCUGCACUGCUCUGGGCAGCCCCCGUCCCGGCGGGCUCGGCAUUUCUGAGUCCUGCCCGGGCACCUCCCUCGUCCCACCUUGGCCUCGACGCGGCCCUCCAGGGCCGAGAGAGGGACCUGGAGAGGACUGAGGUCCCGGUAAUAAUCAUGAAAAAAUCACCCCCGGCUAGCACUGGCUGA